UAUUUUACGACCCAAAUCACAACCAAUAUACUACAUUCCGACGUUUGUGGUGUAAUUUUGGACAAAAUACAUGACAAAUAUACUACGACGAUGCCCAAAUAUACUACAAAAUUUUACGAAUAUAAUUACGAAAGUGUAAAACCGGCAAAAUAUAUUGAACGAUAUGCAUCAAAUAUACCAAAUAUACAAAAUGUAGAGUUC
rfam:Agrotis segetum nucleopolyhedrovirus, complete genome.